GGUGGCUCAGUGGUAGAGUGCUUACCUUGCAUGCAGGAGGCCCUGAGUUUGAUUCCUCAGCACCA
rnacentral:tRNA from 1 species